GUGAGCCAAGAUCGCCGCACUGCACUCCAGCCUGGGCAGCAGAGGGAGAUUCCAUCUCAAAAAAAAAAAAAAAAAAAUUUCAGCAUGACUCUCUUCUUUCCUGAGGGCUGGUUUCAUAUGGCAGCCCUUUGAUAGGAGUCAAACUCCAGUCUGUUUUUCCCUGGGAAAUUUGCAUUUUGUAGACUCCCUCAGCCCUGGCCCAUACCCAAAGGCAGAACCCAGGUUGGAGUCUCACACCCUCGAGUUAUUUCAAAUACUGGCAAGUCCUAGGAUCCACAGCAGAUGUUUCUCAGAGCUUGCCUGCCUGUUGAGCUCCCACACGCCAUCCCCACCCUACCUACCCCCAGCCCUGCAGACUCUCACAUCCAUAUACACUCUAGGCCAGCCCUGGGGUCCAGAGCAGAUGUCUCGCUCUGCCUGCCUGCCCCCAGCCCCAGGACACAGAUGUGCAUACACGCACAUACACAUAUCCCCACCCACACCACUGCUGCCUGGGUGGUCCCAGAUGACUCUUGGAUUUCCUGCCCCAACAGAGGCAGUCUCCCUUCCCUUCCUCCCUCUCCAUUCCCCACAUUCUCCCCAUCUAAACACUGCUUGAGCCUCCAUGUUUCCUCAUCCUCUCUCCUAUACUCCAGCAUAGGAUAGGCUAGACCCCAGCAGUUUUUUGCUGUUGUUUGGGGGAGGGUUUUAUAAGAGGAUGGUAGCCAAUUCCUAGGCUUUUUUCCUUUAUUUCAGAAUAUCACUCUUGUCCUAUAUUGGCUGGGGGUGAGGUAAAAAUCUUUUUUUUUCUUUCUGUUUUUUUUUUUUUUUUUUUUUUGAGAGUAAGUCUUGCUCUGUUGCCCAGGCUGUAUUUGCAGUGAGCCGAGAUCGCGUCUUUGUACUCCAGCCUGCGCAACAAGAGCUGCCAUUCCAUGUAGAAGACAGAGGAUGGCCUUAUAUCAGUUGGUAGAAUCACCAUCCACUUAAAUACCUAAAGCUAAAACCUUAGGAGUCAGCCUCAGUUCUUGUUCACCCAAUUGUUUACUAAACUAUUAAAUCCUUGCUUCUUAACCUCUCUCAUAACAAACCCAUCCUUUCUUUUUUUUUUUUUUUGAGACGGAGUCUUGAUGUGUUGCCCACACUGGAGUGCAGAGGUGCGAUCUUAGCUCACUGCAAGCUCCAUCUCCCGGGUUCACGCCAUUCUCCUGCCUCAGCCUUCUGAGU
rnacentral:lncRNA from 10 species